GAUGUUACAAUCCAUGGAUUGAGGUAGAAGAAAUACUUGAAAAUGAACUUCCAGCAGUAAAACAAACUCAAGCAUGACACAGGAGAAAAAACGACGCAUGAUUGUUUGGGAAAAGGAGGUACGUAAUAAAUUGGAAGUCUGUCUCUUCUGUGCUAUCUAAAAAAUUCCUUUGAAUCCGAAAAGUGUGCUGUUUAAUCGCAUAGUUACUCGGGAAGAGAAGUUACUUUCUUGAUUGAAUCUUGAACAUAUCAUAAGCGAAGAUUGAUAGUAAUUAUGUCUGAGAAAAAGAGUUGCAUGGAAAGAGCAAUGUCACAUCAGCCUAGUAAGUCAGCCCUCCGUCAGGGACCGUCGUACCUCCGUCGAGGAAUUCCAGGCGCCACCCCUGUUUAGAA